GGACGAACGCUGGCGGCGUGCUUAACACAUGCAAGUCGAACGAGAAUCUACUGACGGAGUUUUCGGACAACUGAAGUAGAGGACAGUGGCGGACUGGUGAGUAACGCGUGAGGAACCUGCCUUUCAGAGGGGGACAACAGUUGGAAACGACUGCUAAUACCGCAUGACGCAUUCGGAUGGCAUCAUCUGAAUGCCAAAGAUUUAUCGCUGAAAGAUGGCCUCGCGUCUGAUUAGCUAGUUGGCGGGGUAACGGCCCACCAAGGCGACGAUCAGUAGCCGGACUGAGAGGUUGACCGGCCACAUUGGGACUGAGAUACGGCCCAGACUCCUACGGGAGGCAGCAGUGGGGAAUAUUGGGCAAUGGGCGCAAGCCUGACCCAGCAACGCCGCGUGAAGGAAGAAGGCUUUCGGGUUGUAAACUUCUUUUAAGUGGGAAGAGCAGAAGACGGUACCACUUGAAUAAGCCACGGCUAACUACGUG
rnacentral:rRNA from 1 species